UGCUCAAAUAGUUUAAGAAAAAUGUUGGUUUGUGGAGCCAAAGAUAUAAGUUAUUAUUUUGGGCAG
rnacentral:tRNA from 1 species